UACACGCUGUGACUAGCAUAUCAAUAAGCGGAGGAAAAGAAACUAACAAGGAUUCCCCUAGUAACGGCGAGUGAAGCGGGAAGAGCUCAAAUUUGAAAUCUUAAAGGGUUUCCCUUUACGAAUUGUAGUUUAAAGAAGUGUUUUCUGUUGAGGUUUUGGUAAAAGUUCUUUGGAAUAGGACAUCAUAGAGGGUGAGAAUCCCGUAUUUGACCUUUACUUUCAACUUUGUGAUACACUUUCAAAGAGUCGGAUUGUUUGGGAAUGCAGUCCAAGAUGGGUGGUAAAUUUCAUCUAAAGCUAAAUAUUGGCGAGAGACCGAUAGCGAACAAGUACCGUGAGGGAAAGAUGAAAAGAACUUUGAAAAGAGAGUUAAACAGUACGUGAAAUUGUCAAAAGGGAAGCGUUUGACACCAGUGUUGUUUUUCUGAAAAUCAAUUAAAGAACUGUUUAUGCUAAGUUGUUUAGACUUUAUCAGCUAACUGUUUAGUUUUGAGCUUUUCUUUAAUGCACUUUUCAGUUAACAAGUCAACAUCAAUUUCUUUUGCUGUAAAAAAGCUUGAGGAAGGUGGCUUGAGAUUCGUCUUAAGUGUUUAUAGCCUCUUGCCUAUGCAGUCGGAGAGAUUGAGGUCUGCAGCGUAGAUCCUUCGGGGCUAAAUGCAUUUGUGCUAAGUUAUAGCAUUUUAUAGACAACUUGUUGACUAUGAUUUGUCUUGUAGCUUACUCGCUUAUGUUAUUUUACCUACGCUUAGGAUGUUGAAGAUGUAGCACAUCAU
rnacentral:rRNA from 1 species